AUUGAACGCUGGCGGCAGGCCUAACACAUGCAAGUCGAACGAGUGGCGGACUGGUGAGUAAUGUCUGGGAAACUGCCCGAUGGAGGGGGAUAACUACUGGAAACGGUAGCUAAUACCGCAUACCAUCGGAUGUGCCCCGAUGGGAUUAGCUAGUAGGUGGGGUAACGGCUCACCUAGGCGACGAUCCCUAGCUGGUCUGAGAGGAUGACCAGCCAAACGGGAACUGAGACACGGUCCAGAAUCGUACGGGAGGCAGCAGUGGGGAAUAUUGCACAAUGGGCGCAAGCCUGAUGCAGCCAGGCCGCGUGGAUGAAGAAGGCAUUAGGGUUGUAAAAGACUUUCAGCGAGGAGGCGUUAGACGCAGAAGAAGCACCGGCUAACUCCGUGCCAGCAGCCGCGGUAAUAC
rnacentral:rRNA from 1 species